CAUAGCGACUAUCGUGGCAUAUCAAUAAGCGGAGGAAAAGAAACUAGCAAGGAUUCCCUUAGUAACGGCGAGUGAAGCGGGAAGAGCUCAAAUUUGAAAUCUUAAAGGGUUUCCCUUUACGAAUUGUAGUUUAAAGAAGUGUUUUCUGUUGGAGUUUCGGUAAAAGUUCUUUGGAAUAGGACAUCAUAGAGGGUGAGAAUCCCGUAUUUGACCGUUACUUUCCAGCUGUGUGAUACACUUUCAAAGAGUCGGAUUGUUUGGGAAUGCAGUCCAAGAUGGGUGGUAAAUUUCAUCUAAAGCUAAAUAUUGGCGAGAGACCGAUAGCGAACAAGUACCGUGAGGGAAAGAUGAAAAGAACUUUGAAAAGAGAGUUAAACAGUACGUGAAAUUGUCAAAAGGGAAGCGUUUGACACCAGUGUUGUUUAGUUGAAAAUCAAUUCAAUAAUUUUUGAUUUUGAGUAGUAUUGACUUCAUCAGCUUGCUGCUUUCUUUUCGGAAAUUAUUGAAUGCACUUUUCAGUUAACAAGUCAACAUCAAUUUCUUUUGUUGUAAAAGGGUAAGAGGAAGGUGGCUUACGCUUCGGCGUAAGUGUUUAUAGCCUUUUACCUCUGCAAUCGGAGAGAUUGAGGACAGCAGCGUAGACUCUUCGGGGUUAGAUACACUUGUGCUAAGCUAUAGCCUUGUAUAGACAACUUGUUGACUAUGCUCAGUCAUGUAGCUUACUCGCUUGUGCUAUUUUACCUACGCUUAGGAUGUUGAUAGUCACAGCGUGUAC
rnacentral:rRNA from 1 species